GCCCCAGACUCCUACGGGAGGCAGCAGUGAGGAAUAUUGGUCAAUGGUCGGGAGACUGAACCAGCCAAGCCGCGUGAGGGAGGAAGGUACAGAGUAUCGUAAACCUCUUUUGUCAGGGAACAAAGGCGGGGACGUGUCCCCGGAUGAGUGUACCUGAAGAAAAAGCAUCGGCUAAUUCCGUGCCAGCAGCCGCGGUAAUACGGAGGAUGCGAGCGUUAUCCGGAUUUAUUGGGUUUAAAGGGUGCGCAGGCGGUCUGUUAGGCCAGGGGUCAAACCCCGGGGCUCACCCCCAGCCCGCCGUUGAAACUGGCAGUCUCGAGUUGGAGAGAAGUAUGCGGAAUGCGCGGUGUAGCGGUGAAAUGCAUAGAUAUCGCGCAGAACUCCGAUUGCGAAGGCAGCAUGCCGGCUCCACACUGACGCUGAGGCACGAAAGCGUGGGUAUCGAACAGGAUUAGAUACCCUGGUA
rnacentral:rRNA from 1 species